UCAUGUGAACUCAUCAAAGUU
ensembl:piRNA 21ur-6931 ncRNA